GCCGACUCACCUUCUGCUAUGGGGAAGCGCUUUGGCAUUUACUGGGAACCCCAUCUUUGCCAUUGCCACUGCUGCUGUUGCCAGUGCCACCCUCCUCCCUAGUAGCCACGGUGUAUCAAGUGCCAGGGGGCAUGGAGCGGGCGCUACCGGGAAAGGAGGUCGUGUGAGCAGAUGUAUGGAGGAGUGACACAGCAUGGGCGUUCCCGGCCUGCAGCCUGGUGGAGCUGGACGAAGGAGCCUCUUUCAGGUGGGGAUAGGGCUGAUGUGGGGCAUAAAUGAAGGUCAGCCCAGCCGGGAAGAAUUCAUGGGGCCCUCCAGACUGAGAGUCAGCCUAGCUCUUGGAUUUUCCAUCACACGGGAGAUUUGUGCACACCUCCUGGGCCAGUGGUUCCCAACCCUAGUGCAUGUUAGAGCCAUCCCCAUGGUUCUGGUUCAUUGGCCUCGGGUGAGGCCCAGGCCUCCUCAGAAUUUUAAAAAAAACAAUGCCCCAAGUGAUAUUAAUUAACUGUUAAAGAAAUAAUUAUUCCAAACACUUGUUAAAACGGUAAGGGAGAUUUUCUUCAAGACUAUUGCAAUGGGGAUACUGCACUAAGGGAGAGAGAUGGAGUACAACUGCAAAUACAACAGAUAUGAGUGGGAUUAGCCAGUGAGCAGAGUGGGGGGGUCAGUGAUGGAAAGUUACUAAGAGGAGACAUCAAGGAUAGGGGUGUUCUUGCUAAAGGCAAGCCAAGGAUUUGGACCUCGAAAGUGGGGGGAUGAAACUGAUCAGAUAUCAAGGGCAGGGGGCUGACUUAGAGAAGUCUUUGUUGAGACUGGGCGGGGAAGGCCAAAGACAGGGGCCAAGGUUGAGGCCUAGCUGAGAAGAGGGCUCAGGGGAGCCUGACCUGAGUUUGGUCAAGCAGAGCGUCUUUGUCAGUGCAUCUGGGGUUGAGCCCCUUGGCUGGGGCACAGAAAGAAUCCUCAGUAACAAGGUCGUGGUCACCAUCCUGUCUCAUUCUCCACUGAGGCUGCACAGCCUGUUGGGCACUGAGUGGUUUCUCAAUGAACUUAAUAUUUGUAGAAUGAGCAACCUUGAGAAGGAUGUUGAGGGUCCAGAGGUCUGUUCAGAGGUGUGAGGAGAGCUGAGGAAAUCGUGGGGGCCGGGAGGCAGGUUGGGAGGAGAAGCAGUGGGGGAAAUCCCACAGUCAGCUUGGAACUCAGUGACUCGCUAGCUCCACCUAUGGGCAAGUUACCUCAACUGUCUGAGCCUCAGUUUCCUCACAAACCCAAUGGCGGUAAAUAUAGUAAUUAACCAUAUGGGUUAUUGUGAGGAAGAAAUAAGACAAUCUCUGUCAAGUGUCUCUCACCACACCCAAGGGCGUAAUUGGUGACAUUAGGAAGUAGAACUCUAAAGUAGGAUUUUGAGUAAGGAGGACACUCUGAAGACAUGAUUUCCUGUCCUGUGCUUAUGCCCUGCUCCCUCACCAAUAAUAUAAUGAUAAUAAUCACGAUAAUAUAUAAUAUACUUAGUAUAAUAGAUACUGUAUAACAUGUUAUUUAUAAUGUAAAAUAUAAAUAAUACUUUGGAUUCAUAUGAAAAAAAUCUAUCACGACACAACUUGUUUUUGUGGCUACCGUCUCGUCCGUCCUUGGUGCUCUGAGAGAAGUGGCACAGCCUGGUGACAACAUGAGGCCUCUGAAGUAGACGGUUUUGGUUCAUAUCCUGGCUCCACCGUUUACUGACCUUGGAGAUGCACAUGCCCCAGGUGGGCUGCCUGGGAAUGGAGGCAAGCCGGUUUCCCAGAGAUGCCUGAUCUCAGGACCUUACAUAUUAGAGGAAAAUACAAGCCUG